rnacentral:rRNA from 1 species
UACGUAGGGGGCAAGCGUUGUCCGGAAUCAUUGGGCGUAAAGAGCGUGUAGGCGGCCCGAUAAGUCCGCUGUGAAAGUCCAGGGCUCAACCCUGGGAUGCCGGUGGAUACUGUCGGGCUCGAGUCCGGAAGAGGAGUGUGGAAUUCCUGGUGUAGCGGUGAAAUGCGCAGAUAUCAGGAGGAACACCAAUGGUGAAGGCAGCACUCUGGGACGUGACUGACGCUGAGACGCGAAAGCGUGGGGAGCAAACGGG